GCCCAGCACCGAAUCCUGUGCCGGCGAGGUAUUAGGAAAUGUGGUGUUUAGGCCGUCUUUUACGCUGAUAUAGCUCUCCUCAAGUCCACUUGAUUGUGGCUUCAGGCCCAGAGAGGGUGUAAGGCCCGUGGAGGCGAGUUGUUUGGCUUUCAGGACGUCCUUAGAGUCGGGUUGUUUGGGAAUGCAGCCCUAAGCGGGUGGUAAACUCCAUCCAAGGCUAAAUACUAGCACGAGUCCGAUAGCGAAGAAGUACCGCGAGGGAAAGUUGAAAAGAACUUUGAAGAGAGAGUUCAAGAGUACGUGAAACCGCUGAGAGGCAAACUGGUGGAGCUGAAAUGGUCGUAUGGAAAUCAGCCAUUCGAAGCUGUCAAUUCGUCGGUUCCGAGACCUUACGGCUCAAUCGGCGUACUGUACAGGGUCGAUAGGUGCACUUUCUAUCUGACCGGACCACGAUCAGCGAGCUGCUUGUCUGGCGCUUGUGGAAGGUGGCGUCCACUUCGGUGGACGUGUUAUAGCCACAUGUUCGGAGUGAGCGGCGCGUUGGAGCUAAUGAUGCAUGCCGUAAGGGCUCGUAAGCUGUAUCUUUCUGGCGUACUUCCAGCCUCCAUGCGUAAGCAAGGGGGUUGGCGGUGCUUUAGUUAGAGGCAGCCGCUGCGAAUUGCGUCAGAAGUCUGUGGUUUCGUAGUAGGCAGUCCACCUGACCCGUCUUGAAACACGGACCAAGGAGUCUAACAUGUGCGCGAGUCAUUGGGUUAUACGAAACCUAAAGGCGCAGUGAAAGUGAAGAUCUACUUUGGUGGAUUGAGGUAGGAUCCCGGGUCACGUGCUCGGGCGCACUACCGGCCCGUUCGACAUGUCUUCAUGCGGGCGGAGCAAGAGCGUACACGUUGGGACCCGAAAGAUGGUGAACUAUGCUUGCGCAGGUCGAAGCCAGAGG
rnacentral:rRNA from 1 species